CUACGGGUGGCUGCAGUGAGGAAUAUUGCACAAUGGGGGGAACCCUGAUGCAGCAACGCCGCGUGGAGGAUGACGCAUUUCGGUGUGUAAACUCCUUUUAUAUGUCAAGAAAAUGACGGUAGCAUAUGAAUAAGCACCGGCUAACUCCGUGCCAGCAGCCGCGGUAAUGACGGAGGGUGCAAGCGCUACUCGGAAUCACUGGGCGUAAAGGACGCGUAGGCGGGUUGGAAAGUCAGGUGUGAAAUCCUACAGCUUAACUGUAGAACUGCACUUGAAACUUCUAAUCUAGAGUAUGGGAGGGGGAGAUGGAAUUAGUGGUGUAGGGGUAAAAUCCGUAGAUAUCACUAGGAAUACCUAAAGCGAAGGCGAUCUCCUGGAACAUUACUGACGCUAAGGCGUGAAAGCGUGGGGAGCAAACAGGAUUAGAUACCCGGGUAGUC
rnacentral:rRNA from 1 species